AACAGAAAACAACUGUUGACUACUCACGCUCCAGCAUUCUUCAGUAUGGCUGAGAAGUAAGACUCUGUCAUAGAAAACACAUCUGGAAUUAUUCAGAAUGUUCCUCAUUUCACGUGUUACAAUCUCUGACUGCCACGUAGCCAACCAUCUCCCUAAGAAAUGUGCUCAAUUUAAAUGGUACUGAUUUCAUGUCAGUGCACAGAAGUCCUUGUCACUUGGUAAAAUAUCUCGUGCAGUGGGAAUCUCUUUUUAAAAAGAAUUGAAUGCAAACGUGGACAGAUGAAGAGAUAAGAUGUCAGCCAGCGAAUUUGGAGAAGAGAGAGCUUAAGGGUGAUGGCAAGAUUGAGAGAUUUUGGAGGGAAGUGGAUUAAAUACUGAUUCAGCCUGUGUGACAUCUUCCCCCACAGCAAUUUGAAGUCCUAUUUGAAGAUUCACAGUUGCCACACUCUGUAAACAUUAAGGUGAUCAGGACAUUGAAAGAAAUGAAUAAUAUGCUCCAAAGUCAAGGCAUACUUUUGGGAUAUUAUUCCCUUGCAGUUAAAAGUGUUCUCUUGGAUUAAUCAAAUUAUCUAUUUAGUCCAGAAUUUAACCUAUGCACACUGCAGUCUUACUAAGAAGAGAAUGAGCCUGCAUUUGUACCACAGAGACAAAGAGCUGAGAUUGCAGACAGAACCAGACUCUACGUUGACUCUGUAUUUAAAUUUCUCAAAGCCAUAGAAACUCUAUGGGUCUUGUCUUUGCCUUAGCACGUGAGUCUGCCUUAGCUGACAUCACUUUGCCAAUCAGACCAAGUCUGAGGAAGUGGCAAGAAGCUGCAGCAAACUUCUGGUAGAAGUUUUUUUUUGGUGCAUUUCUCUAUGGCAUCCCGACAAAUGGAGCUUGACUAUGGACUGUAAAGCAAACCAUGUGUGUCAUUAGCAAAGAAUCCUUCAUUAAGUGUCCUCUCACAUGCUUGCUUUAACAGAACAUCCUUUCACUUCUUUCUGCUUCAGGGAAACAUUUCUU